rnacentral:rRNA from 1 species
UACCUGCAGCUCAAGUGGUAACCGCUUUUAUUGGGCCUAAAGCGUCCGUAGCCGGUUUGGUAAAUAUCUGGGUAAAUCGUGAGGCUUAACUUCACGAAUUUCGGAUAGACUGCCAGACUUGGGAUCGGGGGAGGUCAGAGGUACUCCAGGGGUAGCGGUGAAAUGUUGUAAUCCUUGGAGGACCACCGGUAGCGAAGGCGUCUGACUAGAACGAGUCCGACGGUGAGGGACGAAGCCCUGGGGCGCAAACCGGAUUAGAUACCCGGGUAGUCCAGGGUGUAAACAAUGUGGGCUUUGUAUUGGAAGUCCCACGUGGGCGUCCAGUGCAGAAGAGAAGUUGUUAAGCCCACCGCCUGGGAAGUACGGUCGCAAGGCUGAAACUUAAAGGAAUUGGCGGGGGAGCACAGCAACGGGAGGAGCGUGCGGUUU